GCGAGAAUGGCGCAGUGGGUAAGCGGAUUGGGCUUUGGCUCAGAAGGUCAGGGGUUCGACCCCCAGGACAUGCC